AUUGAACGCUGGCGGAAUGCUUUACACAUGCAAGUCGAACGGUAGAGGGGGCAACCCCUCGAGAGUGGCGAACGGGUGAGUAAUAUAUCGGAACGUGCCCAGUCGUGGGGGAUAACGUAGCGAAAGUUACGCUAAUACCGCAUACGAUCUAAGGAUGAAAGCGGGGGAUCGCAAGACCUCGCGCGAUUGGAGCGGCCGAUAUCAGAUUAGGUAGUUGGUGGGGUAAAGGCUCACCAAGCCAACGAUCUGUAGCUGGUCUGAGAGGACGACCAGCCACACUGGAACUGAGACACGGUCCAGACUCCUACGGGAGGCAGCAGUGGGGAAUUUCGGACAAUGGACGCAAGUCUGAUCCAGCCAUUCCGCGUGCAGGAUGAAGGCCCUCGGGUUGUAAACUGCUUUUGUACGGAACAAAAGGUCUCUCUUAAUACGGGGGACUCAUGACGGUACCGUAAGAAUAAGCACCGGCUAACUACGUGCCAGCCGCCGCGGUAACAC
rnacentral:rRNA from 1 species